rnacentral:rRNA from 1 species
UUACGGGAGGCAGCAGUAGGGAAUCUUCGGCAAUGGACGAAAGUCUGACCGAGCAACGCCGCGUGAGUGAAGAAGGUUUUCGGAUCGUAAAACUCUGUUGUUAGAGAAGAACAAGGAUGAGAGUAAAACGUUCAUCCCUUGACGGUAUCUA